rnacentral:lncRNA from 1 species
CUCUCCUCUUCUCUCUUUAGAAGGUAUCUCUCUCCUCUCCUCUUCUCUCUUUAGAAGGUAUCUCUCUCCUCUCCUCUAAUUAGAAGGUAUCUCUCUCCUCUUCUCUCUUUAGAAGGUAUCUCUCUCCUCUCCUCUUCUCUCUUUAAAAGGUAUCUCUCUCCUCUCCUCUUCUCUCUUUAUAAGGUAUCUCUCUCCUCUCUUCUCUUUAGAAGGUAUCUCUCUCCUCUUCUCUCUUUAGAAGGUAUCUCUCUCCUCUCCUCUCUUUAGAAGGUAUCUCUCUCCUCU